CAGUAGCCGCGGUAAUACGUAGGUGGCAAGCGUUGUCCGGAAUUAUUGGGCGUAAAGGGCUCGCAGGCGGUUUCUUAAGUCUGAUGUGAGAGCCCCCGGCUCAACCGUGGAGGGUCAUUGGAAACUGCUAAACUUGAGUGCAGAAGGGGAGAGUGGAAUUCCAUGUGUAGCGGUGAGAUGCGUAGAUAUAUGGAGGAACACCGGUGGCGAAAGCGGCUCUCUAGUCUGUAACUGACGCUGAGGCUCGAAAGCGUGGGGAGCGAACAGGAUUAGAGACCCCAGUAGUCCCUGUCUCUUAUAC
rnacentral:rRNA from 1 species